rnacentral:lncRNA from 1 species
CAAGACAGCCCCUCCGUUGUGUUCAGCAUUCCCAGGAACAGCUUAGCAUGUGUUUGCUCUUACCCUUUUUAUAUUGGACUUGCAGAGCAAGACUCACUUCUUUGAUUAAUAUUAAACAGUGUUUUGUUUGUGCCCUGUGGCAGAAGUGCCCAGAUGGAGUGGCUUGAAUGCUGAAAACAUGAGAAGCAUUUAAUGUUCUGUGGAGCUUUGUUAAAGUUGUCUGAAUAGAACAUCUGGUAUCAAAUCUUCGAAUAAAUCAGUUCCUGCAAGUAUUUGGACCUGCUCUGGGUCUGUGCCUUGUUCCAGCUUUACAUUCCCUCUCUUACUUUCCUGUUUCUGGUGCCAGUAGAAGAUGGUUUAUUGCCUGGUGCAACCCAUUAAAGUCCCUUUGUUGGAGCUUGGCAAUUAGUUGAGCAGAAGAGUAUAAAAAUCACUUUGGCAUCUGUUGGGUUGAAAUGGCAAGGCUGACUUAAAGUGUCCCUGAAAGGCUUUUUAUCUGCCCACAAGGUGAUGGAGAAGGGAGAAGCGGUCACCCAGACACUGAGGGAAGGUACUGCCUGAUGUCUCUGCAAAGUGUAGCUGUUGGCGAGGUUUUGUUUUGUUUUGUUUUGUUUUCUGUAUAAAACCUCUCUGCUCCUGCAGGGUCCCAGUGCAGAUACAUCCAUGCAAGACCUCGCUGGCCGGGGGGGAUGAAUGGUAUCCCACUGCUCAGCACUGCCAGGCCCCAAUGCCAGUCCUGCUUUCUGUGUGAGGAAGUCCUGCAGAGUUGAAGAGCUUCAUACAUCAAACGAACUUCAGUGGAGUCAUUCUUGCCUCACACCAAUGCCACGCAGGUGGCCCUUUUCUCAUUCAUCGUAGCUUUCCAAGCAUGAGUGGCCAAAACAGUACACUGCACGGAGCCAGUUCCCUCAGCUGGUGAUUACAAGAAGUGUUGCCCAGACCAUGUCAAUGCAGGUGAUCCCAGCAAAGCUACAGGAAAAAACAGCCACCAUAUUCCAGCAUGGACAAGAAAACACACAAAGGGAAAGAAACUCAGAGGCUUCCAGUUUGUGCACAGUUCAUACAAAGUAAGGGCUUGGGUGUGCGUGGCUGCUGGCAUGAACAAGAAGGGGAGACAAACUGUUUGCUGUAAGGGACUGAGGACAGCUAGAGAAGGCUGCACUUGUCUGGUAGAACUGACAAGACCUCACGGAUUCUCUACCUACCCUUCUGCUUCUUGGAAAGGUCAUCCAAAAUGCCUUUCCAAACUUCCAGGCAUGGUGGUAAGAUCCUCAGUGUGGAAGGGUUAAAAUAUAGAGCUUUUGCUGCAAGCUUGCUCUUUUGUUCCUAAGUUGCUCCUACUCCUAGUUAAACCUGUGGCUUGCCAACUAACUGUUUUCUGUGUAACUUGUGGCUGAUUACCUCAUGUUCCUGGUUUCCUUAAACUUGCCUGGGUAAUUCUUUGCUCUCACAAGCAGAAGUAUGGAUGGAGCCACUUGCUAACCGCAUCGCUUCAGGCAAACAAAUAAGGCUGCGCAGCCCCAGUCUGGCUAAUGUCGUGCUGUGGGAAUGUCUGAAGCUCUGCAGACUUACUGAUAGCAGUGGAACGGCAGCGUGCAGAGUGCACAGAGACUAACGUAUGUCUGUACCGCAUCUGACAUUCUCCUACCCCUCUUCUAACUGUGUGUCUCUGUGGACCCCUUUCAUAAAUCAUUAAUGAACUAUAUUUCUGAAUAAAUACUUAGGAGGAGUGCCUGAGGCA